rnacentral:lncRNA from 1 species
AUGAUGUCGAUCUUCUCGCGUCCGUCUGCGCAGAACCGGCGCCCUCCAGCGGCCAGCCGGUCUCCAGCUCCGGCUGGCCUGACGCGUCCCCUGCUGUCUGUGUCCCCAGGCCAGGUGAAGAGGUCUUCCCCCAAGAAGCCCCGGAGCCGGAAUAUCUUCAGCGCUCUCUUCUGCUGCCUCAGAGCCCAGGAUGUGCCGCCACUGCCCCAGGCCCAGGGUACCCUGCCGCAGGCGGAGGAGAACGGGCCGGUUGCCAAGAUUCCCGGGCCCUGCCUGCUGCCCGAGGUGACCCCUCAGGACCAGGGCAAGAUGUGUGUGGUGAUCGACCUGGACGAGACGCUGGUGCACAGCUCCUUCAAGGUGAGGCCGCGGCACCUCGGGGCCCCUCCCGUGUUUGCGGGUGGGGGGCGGACAGGUCAGAGGUCAGAGGUGAAAGGGCAGUAGGGUGACUGUGCAGUGUCAGGAUCGCAAACACAGGGUGAGGGAAUGGGUUAUAAAAGCUUCCUUGAAACGGACUCAUACCAUUAAAAUGAGUGAAGUGUCGCACCCUUGUGAAACUGAUAUUCAUGGUCUUGGCUCUGCGGGGAGGUACAGUAGGGUUUUUCAUCAUGUAGAAGUUUUCAGUUAUUCACCCUGUGCUUUGGGCAUCAUGGGCAAGGACAGUGAGCAAUGCGCAGCUGGCAGAGAGACUGGUAUGAGGACAAGAGAACUGUUACACACGAGCGCAGCCCUUGGGCCCCUCUGAGCCGCCUGUCUGCCUUAGCCAGUUGAUCUCAUCUGGCCUCUCUCCUGAGAGAAUCCAGCUUUUCAGCGUCAAUAUCGCCGGGUAGCUAGUUCCACACUCCCACAACACUUUGUGUCAGCAAAUUCUUGGAUUUUAAUAAACUUCCACAUAGGUUCCCCUUGUGUCCUCCAUUUUGACAUAGUCAAGGGACUGAGACCGUGGGGUGUCAGGGGGUGUCACAUACCGGUCGAGGGACUGAGACCGUGGGGUGUCGGGGGGUGUCACCUACCGGUCGAG